AUGACGACGAGGAUCCCACAGCCACCAGGCGGACCCACAUCCUGGAGCAGGUGUGACCCUAUAUCCCAGAUAUCCCAGAUAUCCCAGAUAUCCCAUAUAUCCCGAAAUCCCAUAUCCCAUAUCCCUAUAUAUCCCCAUAUAUCCCAAAAUCCCAUAUCCCAUAUCCCUAUAUAUCCCCAUAUAUCCCCAUAUAUCCCAAAAUCCCGUAUCCCGUAUCCCUAUAUGUCCCAAUAUAUUCCCAUAUAUCCCAAAAUCCCAUAUCCCAUAUCCCCAUAUAUCCCCAAAUAUCCCCAUAUAUCCCCAAAUAUCCCCAAAUCCCAUAUUCCUAUAUCCCAUAUCCCUAAAUAUCCCCAUAUAUCCCCAUAUAUCCCCAUAUAUCCCCAAAUCCCGUAUCCCAUAUCCCCAUAUAUCCCCAUAUUUUCCCAUAUAUCUCCAAAUCCCAUAUUCCCAUGUCCCAUAUCCCCAUAUAUCCCAUAUUCCCAUAACCCCAUGUAUCCCCAUACAUCCCCAUAUGUCCCCAUAUAUCCCCAUAUCCCAUAUUCCCAUAUAUUCCCAUAUAUUUUCAAAUCCCAUAACCCAUAUCCCCAUAUAUCCCCAUAUGUCCCCAUAUAUCCCCAAAUCCCAUAUUCCCAUAUUCCGAUAUCCCCAUAUAUCCCUAUGUAUCCCCAUAUAUCCCCAUAUAUUCCCAAAUCCCAUAUUCCCAUAUCCCAUAUCCGUCUAUACCCUCAUAUAUCCCCAUAUAUUCCCAUAUAUCCCAAAAUCCCAUAUAUCCCCAUAUGUCCCCAUAUAUCCCCAUGUAUUUCCAUAUAUCCCCAAAUCCCAUAUCCCCAUAAAUCCCCAUAUAUCCCCAUAUAUCCCCAAAUCCCAUACCCCAUAUCCCCAUAUAUCCCCAUAAAUCCCCAAAUCCCAUAUCCCCUAUCCCCAUAUAUCCCCAUAUUUUCCCAUAUAUCCCCAAAUAUCCCCAUAUAUCCCCAUAUAUCCCCAAAUCCCAUACCCCAUAUCCCCAUAUAUCCCCAUAAAUCCCCAAAUCCCAUAUCCCCUAUCCCCGUAUAUCCCCAUAUUUUCCCAUAUAUCCCCAAAUAUCCCCAUAUAUCCAAAAAUCCCAUAUCCCCAUAUAUCCCAUAUCCCAUAACCCAUAUCCCAUAUCCCCAUAUAUCCCCAUAUACCCCAAAAUCCCUAUAUAUCCCCAUAUAUUCCCAUAUCCCAUAUAUCCAUGACCCCAUUGCCCCCAAUGACCCCAUUGACCCCAAUGACCCCAUUCACCCCAAUGACCCCAUUGCCCCCAUUGCCCCCAUUGACCCCAAUGACCCCAUUGCCCCCAUUGACCCCAAU
rnacentral:lncRNA from 1 species